GAGUUUUAACAUGUAUUGGAAUGGAAAGGCGUGGUAAAUGAUGUCCAUAUAUGAAAAGUUACCUUCAUGCAUUGUAAUGACAAUAUCGUUACAUGAAUAAUACGGUGUGUCACAUUUCUAAGUUGCAACAUUUCACAAUUUGAAUUUUUUUAACAACCAUUUAAUUAAUAAUUUUUUAAAUGUUCAAAUGUUUUGACAUUUUAUUUCAUAAUUAAAAAUCACUCGCCUAUACAUAAGCUUGACGACGUCGAUAUAAUGAACUUAUGUUCCUUGUACAUUACUCGAGUGUUUCAUUGUUCUAAAAAGAAACGUAUAAUUCAUCAAACAAUCUUUUUUAUUUGGUAUGUGUAGCUUAUACUUUAAUUAUGAAGAAUUUGUAAUUUUGGUAUCGAAACAAAUAUUGCAAUGAAUUGUAUAUCCUAAUUUUGUAGAUGCUAAAAGCCUACUCUAUGUUAUUUUCAAAAGUGUAAUGUUUUUGUAAAAAGUUUGUUACCUGACUAUAUAUUAAAGAGAUUUGUGGCAUAUUUAAUUUAUAUGAAAUAAUUCACAAAAUAUUCUUAAUUAGUAUCUUGACAUUUCGUAUAUUUUGUUAAACACCUGAUCUAUGAUUACCGUAUGUGAUUUUUUGGAUGCUUUCUUGCUUUAAUUGUUGCCUUUAUUCAUGAGUUGGCAACAAUUGGCGCUGAGUUGCAGUCGUCUCCCUAUCAUUUAUUUUUUCCAGAAAAAAUUCAACCUGAUGCUAAGAGAGUAAAUUGUUUUAUAAUACAUGUAUAUUGAUAAUUGAAUAAUUUCAAGAUUGUUUUAAUCUACAUGUAUUUGAUUUCAAUCAUAAAUCUCAUCAGAACUAUAUCUUGUUGUGUAGAACUUUCACAACACGUUUUGGUUUUAAAGUCAUUUGUUUUUGUAAAAUCAAAGAAAAAAAAUAUAAUCAUUCAUUAAAAAAUAAAAG
rnacentral:sRNA from 1 species